rnacentral:rRNA from 1 species
AUUGAACGCUGGCGGCGUGCCUAAUACAUGCAAGUCGAACGGAGUGGCGCACGGGUGAGUAAUGUAUAGCUAAUCUUCCCUACACUAGAGGACUACAUUUGGAAACGGCUGCUAAUACUCUAUAGUGCAUGAUGAGGCUAUAUUGUAUCAGCUAGUUGGUGAGGUAAUGGCUCACCAAGGCUAUGACGCAUAACUGGUCUGAGAGGAUGAUCAGUCACACUGGAACUGAGACACGGGUGAGGCUCAUAGGAGAGGCAGCAGUAGGGAAUAUUGCUCAAGGGGGGAGACGCUGAAGGAGCAACGCGGCGUGGAGGAUGACACUUUUCGGAGAGUAAACUCAUUUUGUUAGGGAAGCGGUACCUAAAGAAUAAGCACCGGCUAACUCCGUGCCAGCAGCCGCGGUAAUUC